CUCCUCUUUGGCGAUGGUCGUCUCUCAUGGCUCCUACUCGACGAUGACUGUUUCUCGUCUCUCCUCCUUGGUGAAGAUCGUCUCUCUGGACUUCUUGAUCGUGACCGAUAGCGAGAAGAGGUCGGGUAGUCGUUCCAUGCCAUGUUGGCGACGGGGACUGUGCGAUCGGGAGCGGGAGCGACUUCCAUGCCUUGUUCUCUGGCGAUGACGGUGGGAAGUCUUUGCAGUGGUUGAGGCUGAGGACUUAACUGUUUCUCUGAAGAGAACAAUGGAUGAAAAAAGCACAGGGCGGUAGUGCAACAACAUUGAAGACGUAGCCAUCUUGUAUGGAACUGUCAGCGGACAUAACCGAAGCUUGAUCUCCACAGAGUGAGUAUGAAAGUGGCAGGUUCUGGCUGCGUUACAAAAUGUGAGUCAACAUGUAAGAUCAAUAAAACUGAACAGUGUCUGCCCAUCUUAAGAAAUUUACCUGGCCUCAAGUGUUAUCUCACCAUCCCACUCUGGGUAUCUGUGGGGGAAAAAGAAUUCAAACUAUUAAAAGAGCAAAGAGGCCACAUUAAUGACAAAAAAGCUAAAGAUUCCUGUCUUGAGGUAGAUGGUCGUAAUCUGCAGAACAGAAUGACAAAACAGCUUUUAGGUGCUUUAAGGACCUUAGCAAUGAGCUUUGUGGGUUGUCUCACCAAGCUGAGAGCAGACACAAAAAGCACAAGAACAAUCCUGAGGAAGAGCUUAGAGAAUUACAAUCUUUUUUUUUUUCCCCUGGCCAGUGUUUCCUCCACAGUAUUUUGGCACAACACUGCAGGGUUUCCUCCAAAUAUAUUCAGAAAAUAACUCAAAUUAACAAGACCUUUAUAAGGCAAACAAUAAAAGGAAAAAAAGGACUGACCGUGUUCGCAGGAGUUUGCAUUUCUCAAGGUGAAUGCUGGUGUUCUGGUGGGAGAUCCAGUCCUAGUAGUCAGAACAAGAGUAUUUAGACAGACCUCAUUAUCAUCAAAACUGCUAUCAGAUUCAACAUCUCAACUGGUUUUAUAGCAUUCGACAACACAUAUUUUUUAUUUUUUUAAAAUCAAAAGUAGGCUUUAGCCCAGAUGAAGAGCAGACAGCAUUAACAAACAGCAAAUAAAAAGCUGUGUUUAAAUCAUGACUUUGUCAAUUGUGAAAACAUGUCUCAUAUCUUUAAAAUUAUUUAAAGACAUAAAACUUUACCCAUUCUUCCCUUAACAGUCAGGAUGAGUUCAAGGGCAAUAAGUCUUGGAAAUUUAACAAACACAGGAGUGCCAUUAGCAAACAACCAAAACACACAACUUCUUGUUGAUUAUCCGACAUUUGGUUCUUCAGUUUCUUCAAGUUUGGUGAAGGUCAUCUCAGCAGAGGACAAAAACACGACCGGACAAAUGGAGUUGAGGCAGGAGGACGUGGAAAACUGGAGCUGGCGCCUUUUUGUAAUUAACCAAAGUGUCAAAUUCAGGAUUCCGCAAGGAAGAAAAUAAUCACAACAGGUGGUCAAGGGAAACCGCUGAUUGUGUGGUUCACGAAGUAAGAUGAUUGCGGCUGGC